rnacentral:lncRNA from 1 species
UAAUGAACCUGCAAAUAUCUUUAGUGUUCCUGGUAUUCGUUCAUCUAGGAGCAAAGAAAAGGAGCUGUCACACCGCAAAAAGAUAAAAUAACUGACACAACAAAUGCAGGGCCAAAAGGCACAAUUCGGAGUACCUCAAGGAUAAUAGGUGCAUAAAAUUCAGUCACAAACACAUAUAAUCCUCACAUUACAUAAAACUCAGUCCUGGAACAUAGCCAGACUAGUAUUAAACAGCUAAAUUUGACCAAACACAGGUAAGGCAACUUCCACAGCCACAACCGCAUAACAAAUCAGGAAUCACUGGGACAAUGCCAUCAUCCCUCAGAGUUUCGCUGCCUGGAUGUCAGAUGAUGCUUCCCCUCCCUCCAAGGCGCCUACUUGGAUCGCUGCCUCAUCUUUCGGCGCUUCCUCUUGAGCCUCCUCAUCCUCUUCUUCUUCCACUGCACAUUAAGACGAAAUGCAGAUCAUCAGUACAAAUUGCAUAGUGCUAGAUGCGCAGGAACAUGAGAUAAUUCCACAUGAAACGAGAAAGUAGUAUGUACUUCAGAAUCAGAAGAUUGAGUGUUUCAUUGGAUAUCAUCACGUGAUUUUCAGAAACACGGACCAAUUGUCCUUCAUCAUUUCCCAAACUGCCAAUUUGGCAUUGCAAAAAGAGAACUAUUCUAAGAAGGUCGUAGCUAUCUACAAACAGGUUAGGCAAAGCAAAGUAGAUCUGCAGUCAGUUUGACAUUCAGAAUGAGUAGGAGGAUUUUAUCAUCAAAUAGAUCAGACGCCAAUUGUCUUCCUCAUCAUGCCAACCGACGCAAUUAUACAAAAUAAAAACAGUGGAAAAUGAGCUAAAGAAAUGGAUAAGCAAACGUUGUUCUCUCAGACAAAUGCCUCGAUUGUCCACACGGUGUAAUAGAAUGGAUUACAUCAGACUCGUCAUCUGUUUUCAUCAUCACAGAGAACAAUGGACAAACGAAAACAGCAAAAAAAAAACAUAAAUCUGGCUAACAUAACUAGAGGCAGUAAUUAGAUCUCAUAGAGCAAGCAAAUCUGGUCGAAAUAGCAGCGGUUCUCUCAGACAAAUUUGCCUCACUUUUGUCCCCACGGUUGAAUGGAAUGGAUUGGAUCGGACAUCUAAUCAGUGUUGAUCAUCACAGAGAACCACUAAUUACGCAAGCGAGCGGUAGCAACGGCGAGAACAAACCCUCGCUAAACACUAGCACAUGUCCAGAUCUACCUCGGUCGCGGAGCAGCUAACAACAGGGAAGGGAGAUGACGGGCAGUACGAACCUUGGCCCUCAUCGCGGCGGCGGAGUCGGUCUCGCUCUCCUGUUCGCGGCGGCGGCGGCGGCGGCGGUGUGUGGACGAACUUAGAUUGUUGACGGCGGGGGCUCUCGCCUCGUACUUAUACGGGCUGGGUGCUGAAGGGGGGGGGAAACCCUAGCGGGGUUGGACGGGUGGACGGCUCGGAUCAGCCAGUGAACGGCGUUCUGAUCCGAUUAGUAAUCUGGUUUGUGGGCCUGUUGGGCCUCCAAACAACGCCUAGGCCCACGCUAACAUUUGACUGGACUUGAUUUCCUGAAGGGGGGAAAAAGAAACUUGACCAGUCUUUACUUUUAUUCUCUUUAUUUUAUAUUACUUUAAAAAGAGUAGUGUUCCUUUUUCUGCCAGACGGAGUGAUUCGUCCAACAUUUUUUUAUAAUCACUAGCAAAAGGCCCGUGUGUUACAACGGGCCAUUGAUAUUUUAGUAUUUCAACACUGAUUGUGCACAUCAAACUGAAAUAUCUCCUUCUAUUGUUAAUUGCUAGUGAAAUAAUCGAGAGGAGAUAAUAUGCCUGAAUAGUGAAGUUGUGAGCAUAGCUUAUUUCUCCUUCUCCUUGACUCAUAUGCAUCAUUUGCUUGGGGGGCAAGCUUGUAGCAGAGUUAAACCCAAAAAAAAGUUGAAUACAAAUCAAGGGAUAUAGCAGCAUUCAACUAAAUUAGUAGUGGAGUAGAGAAGCCCUGGAGCAUAUAAAGUAAAUGAUACCUCUGACAAAGCAGGUUUAAGAAGUGGAUAGUAAGUUUGAAAACAUGAACAAUGCAUAGCAAGCUUUCGUACAUACAAAUUCCCUUGUAUUGAUGAAAACAUAAAUUCACCUAUAAAAAACUAACAAAUUUAGUUUGUAUAUAUACUCUUAGUACACAGUCGAGUCAACACAAACAAUUUGCCUAUGAAAGGAUCAAGUUGGAAUUCCAUUGCUCGAUGGGUGGACGGCUCGGAUCAGCCAGUGGACGGUGUUCUGAUCCGAUUAGUAAUCUGGUUUGUGGGCAUGUUGGGCCUCCAAACAACGCCUAGGCCCAUGCUAACAUUUGACUGGACUUGAUUUCCUGAAGGGGGAAAAAGAAACUUGACCAGUCUUUACUUUUAUUCUCUUUAUUUUAUUACUUAAAAAAGGGAAACGUUUCCUGCGGCGUGCCGGCGGAACGCUUGGCCAGUCGCGUACGCUUCGUUCGAUCGAAAGCGAUCAUGCGGCCCACGUGUGGCCUCACCCCCUCGGCCCCACAUGCUCCCUCUUCCUUAUCCCCAUAUGUUUUCUUUUCCUUAUCCCCUCAAGCACCACUCAUUUUUCUUGCUUAUCCCUCCAUGCCCACCAUUCAUCCCAUGCACCUCUCUCUCCCCCUGGCCUACCUUCAAUCAAUAGCUUGCCGGCGAUGGAAGACGUGUGUGGCGAGCUGGCAGUCCGGGGCUGCACACAUGAAGCCGCGGAGGUGCGUGAGCACGACUCUCGGCGAGCGAAGAGGCGCGACGCCAAAGCUACAUCGGCAACUUGGUAUUUCCACUUUGCAACCUGAUACGACGAGUGGAGGGUGGUUUGCUGCAACCAGUGGCCCCUACUACUACGACCAACGAGGUGGCUGUGCCGUGAAGAUGGACGACGGAUGCGGCGAUUUUUGUGCUGAAACCCACGAUAGCCUCUGCUACAACCGGCCAGCCAUUUUGCUGGAACCAGCAUCGGUAAUUGCUGCCAUCAGUCACGCGAUAUGCUGGAACCAAACGCGCACUCGUCGCCGGCGUUUUUUUUCUUUUGCUAGAGUUGGGUGUUUGAUUUUGCUGGAAGUAGCUAUCCUUUUUGCUACAAAUCGACCACACGAGUUCUCCCUGUUUUGUUGUUUCUGCUGUAUCCAAUGUCUUGUUUUGCUGGAAACAACCAUCUUUUUUGGUACAAAUCGACAACAGGAAUUCUACGUGUUUAGUUGUUUUUCUGCUGCAUCCGAUGUUUCGUUUUGCUGGAACCUAGUAUUUUUUUAUUCAACCGAUCAAUGAAGGAUUGUUGCUUUCAGAUCUUUUUGCUAGAUACUUCAGUGCAAACCGACGCCCACGGCGAGCCGAAACCAGAGCAUGGUGAUGAGCUGGAACCGGCGAGCUUGCUUUGCUGCAAUGAGCCGCAAGCUACUAUGAUCAGCAGGGCGAAGAGCUGGAACGGGCGUCCAUUUUUGCUGGGAUGGGCGCCCAAAUUUGCUGGAACAGGAGUCCCGGGUUGCUGCAUCGUUCGCCGCACAGGGGAGCUACGAUGUUGGCGAGCUGGAACCGGCGCCCAAUUUUGCUGGAGCCGGCAUCUCGACAUGCUGGAACCGUGUGAAGGCAGGCGGCGGCUGAAUGGCUGAUUCGACGCUGAUGGUGUUUUGCUGCGACCAGUGAUGGAAAAGCUUCAACCAUCGGGCGAGUUGUCGAUGGCGUGAGGGGUGACGCCGGGGUGCUGCGGCCGACAACACGGUCGGUGCUGCGCGUUCUACUACAACGAGGAGUCGACCACUAGUUGUUGCAUCCGGCCACGUUGACGCUGCCACCAGCUACAACGAGAAGAUGCCAUGGCGAGCUUCGCCGCCGACGGCCGGCAGCGAAGGUACUCGUGCGGGACGGUGAGCAGAAUUGCGCGCGGCUGCGGCCGCCCGCAAGGGAGAGCCGAUCUGGGCCUUCGUAGACUCUCGUGACAAACGAAACAGCAAGGAGGGACCGGCAGAUGGAGCGGUUAAGGUCACUUCAAUCGAGCGUUGCAUGAGGAACCGGCCGAAAUUUUGGGCCGGUCCGCCGGCGCCUAGUGCUGGCCCUUAAAAAAAAGUAGCGUUCCUUUUUCUGCCAGACGGAGUGAUUUGUCCAACAUGUUUUUCUUGGGAACCGCCUUAAUCAUCUCAUCUUUUUGGUUCAAAAAAAUCGUCUCAUCUUUUAUUGACUUAUCAAAUAAAUUAUAUUUUCUUUCAUAAGUCAAAAUAAGUGAUUACAAAAUAAAAUCAUGGGUAAGAUUUGUUAAGUAUUUUUUUACACAAUCACAUAACAUAAAGAUGUAAAUUAUGGGAUAAUGUAUUGUAAUAUAAUAUAUAAUAUUUAUGCCCCAUAGCGACACGGGCAAAUAUCUAGUUCUGCUAGCAAAAAGACUAAUUACAAAACAAUAAAACUGAGCUAGCUACACGCCACCACAGCGAUUCACCGCUUUUGGCCGUCCGAUCAUUUGUUAGACGCCCCAGAUCUUCCAAUUGUCCACUGGCGGUCGCUUGGUCAUUUUCACCGUGCCUCACCCAAUGUAAAAGGGCUGCUGCUCCGGAAAGCAACCUGUGGGUCAUGUAGUUAAUUGGGCCCAGAAGCAGCCCAAUUGGUUGUGUACGUCAGCCCAUGCUAGGUUUCCUUUCCACAUCGACAGAGAAAAGAAAAGAACAAUUCAUCCUUCUCCUCUUGUUCAUACCCACGGUGCAGGGUGUCUAAUUUCUCAUGUUCCUUUCGUGCUAGGAAGCUCGUGGGGAUUGACCAACUGUCAGUUUGUUGGAGUUUGAUCUGUCCCGAUGGGCGACAAACAUAUAGCUGACUGAAGGCACGAGUAUGGCCUAUGGACUAAAGGAUUUGUUCCUUUCCCUCGGUGGCAACAUCCUAUAUGGCAGUACCUUUUCGCCUCCUUUUACCAGCCGUAUAAUUCAGUGAGUCGUUAGUAACUGUUUUGAUUGGUUGUUAGUAUUCCGGCACUGCCUUAUAUAUGGAUAUUCAUUGUUGAUAUGUGUUACAUGGUGUGAUCCCGAUCGACUCCAAUAUGGACACCCAGGCACCACACCCAGGCUCAUGCAAAUGCUCAAAACAGCCCGGUAACGCCACCACUUGUUGAUCAAAACGUUGUCCUUCUGAGUACUGAUUAGGAUUACAUGCAACCUUCUUGCUGGAAAUACGCUUCUGAAAAAAGAUGCUAAGCUGGCCUGAUAAGAUUGGCAUUAGGCUUUUGCCGUAGGAUCCUGGAACUCUGAAUUCUAGGAACAGCACCUACCAGGUUACCUGAUGUAAUCCGUAUCCUUGCAUGAGGUUUGGAGUACGUGGUUUUUCAAUUUUUGUUGGACAGUUUUAGUCGAGUUAGGUGUGUUCAAGGAUUAGCUUUGGUUUUCCCAUUUUACUCGCUAAGAAAGGUAACUGAAAUUUUGUUUCUGCUCAAUUUCAUUAGGUUGCAAGAAAAUGACUGGUUGAAAUUGCUUUCCUAAACAAAGUAAUAGAUGUACAAUAUUGAUCAACAAAUGGGCAACAAGUCAACAACGACCCAGUAGAAAUUUUAUUGUGCUGAAUAGGGCCAAGUAUAUUAUCAAACCAUUGUUGGUAAGAGGAUAAUUUACUAUGAUUCAGUUGGCAAAGAGGCUCUGAUCUGCAGUUUAAAUGACGAAGAAAUACUGGAACAUGGGGAAGAGAAGCAUGUUUCACAAAAGAAGAAGAUCCGCUAAUAUGGUAAUAAUACAUCCUAGUUAAAUAGAUUGGUUUUUCUGUAUUACGUGCUCUUCUGUCGUGAACUGCAAUUGAUUACCACAACAUGCUAUGUUUUCAUCCGUUCAAGUCUGAAGAAUGGGUACUAUCUAUCAGUCUAUAUGUUUGAAUUUUUUUUCUAAUAUCUCUACUCCUAAUGAAGCAGUUGGUAGCCUGGUACUCCGGUUUUAUUUUCGUCCGGUUUUAUUUCGUCCCACCUCCCACCACUCCGUACUACUGGUUUUUUAUCUAUCUACAAAUCUCCCCUCCCACUGGUUUAAGCCGGUUAUCAAUUUUUGGUAAUGCAAUAAAAGUCAUACGGGAAUAAAUCAUAUCACGGUCGGCAGUUAAUCUCAAACCUGCCAAGAGAUUUGGUAACAGAAUAAAUUCAAAAGGAAGGGUGGGGGAAUGUUCCUAUACAUAAGGAUGGUAAUCUCCAUCGCAUACCAUUUACUCCAGAAUCAAUCGCAUUAAUAAUCUCCAUCGCAUAAAUAAUUACUCCAAAAUCAAUCACAAUCAUAAUCUACAUCGCAUAAUUAACUUCUUCCUAUGACCACCUCGCUCCACCAAUCCCACCUGCCGUUUUCUACCAUCACGAUCGAUUUUCUCGCGUCCUCUCCUACACGCACAAAAAUAUAGGCCCAGCCUCGACCGUGGGCUGGGACUCAUCCGUCGCGCACCGCCUGCUCUGCAACGACGCCCAACGCAACCUCUUCUUUGAUGCCCCCGCGCACCCCUCGCCGCCGCCACCAACGCCCUGCGCGUUCGCCUCUACGGCCUUGAUGAUUGCACCCGCUUUCGUGACGUCCUCGCGCUCAAGCGCCGCCGGCGCAUCCACGCCUGCGUCAGCCAUGCCGAGGAGGUUGAGGAGCCCCUCGAGCCGGCCCUUGCCCUCGCCUGCGUCAACGACCCCGCCCAUCUUGGCGGGGGCGAUUCCCCCAUCGCCCGACUCAUCUCCGACGAGUAUGGCAUCGGUGGGUACGCCGCGUCGUUCGUAUGCUUGGCAGGUUCCAGAACACCCCGCGACGUGUAUGAGGCUGCUAAGCUUGACCAUGGCGAGGGGCUCGUGCUCGAGCUCGACGAGACGCAAUUCGAUCUCGGAACCAACUACGAGCUGGAUGGUGAGACUGCAGAGCAGGCAGGGGGCGCGACGAAGAUGGAAGUGGCGGCAGUUCAAGCUUGUCGCUGCCGAAGACCCUAGAGAGGUGCGUGAAGAGACCUGGUUAGUUUUGUUGGGCCCCACUGGUAGAUGCUCCAUGUCUCCUCCUCUGGUUCCUUGUGCAUUAUUGGGUUGUCUUAAUUUUCAGUCAGGAACACGUAGCCGUGAAUUUUUUUGAUUAAUAUUGAUGUCAUCGUUACAUAUUGGUACCGGGUAGAUUUGAUGUAUUAUUGUUAAGCUCUCAAGACCAGGCCUGGUUUUACAGAUGUUUAGCGCACCGGUUCCUGUUCAUUUACAACACAGCCAUGCGAUCUAUUAAGUGAUGUUUCUCUGAAUUUAUGACAGGUAAACUGCGGUAAUAACAAAUCAGAUGUCAUCUCUCAUCUUGCCGAUUCAACCUUGGAAGAUAUGGUAGAGACGAGAGGCGGUUUGGUCCAUCUGGUGGAAGGGGGAGUGGAGAUAGUAGGAGUGGAAAGCAACUCAGUCCAUCCUGGCGGAAGGGAUAUAUAUAGGCUGACAUGUCAUCGGUGCUGGGCACCACAGGCAAGUGCUGUUUAGUUGAGUCCCAAUCACGAAUUAGAAAAAAAUUCUUUGGGUUCUUGGAUAGAUGCUUAUGGUUUGUUGCGUCAUUUUUCAGGUUCAAUAUGCUGGCUGGCGCCGAGCCUCACUACUGAGUUGAAGAACUACUUGCAACGGUUGCCAAAAGUUGUGUUAAAAAAAUAGGCCCACCUUCAUAAGGAUGAUGUAAAUUGCAGCCAUACUCAGGUUUAUUCUUUGUUCCCUGCAUAUUUUUAUUUAACCACGUUAUGUUUUAGCCACUAGAUGGAAAAUAGAAAAAGGAAACGGAGAGAAUCACUUAUUUUCGUGAUAUGAUAUUUAUUUAAUAGUGAUUGCUAUUUGUUUUGAAUAUUUAAGCAUAAGGAUACCACAAUUAAAUUAUGGUUACAACACGAAAGUUGUAGAGUAGUUAAUCUCUAUCUCUACUCCUAAAGGGGGAGUUGGUAGCCCGGUGCGCAGGUUUAUUUUCGCCUCACCGAUUUAUUCUCCCUCACCUCCCAGCAUCCCCUCCACGCUGGGUUUUCUCCGUCCGACUAAAAACCAAAUCAAUUUGCAUGAUCCUCCUUGUUUGUUUUUCGGCUAAUGUCCUCCUAUCCUAGAGCAUGUUCAUCUGACUAAUCUUCUUAGUUAAUGCCCUCCUUGCCUGGAUCAUGUUCAUCCGAUUGACAAAGGCUUGGCCAUCUUGUAAUAGUAGAUGGUGAAGUGGAUAUAUAUACUACUCCCUCCGUCCGAAAAUACUUGUCAUCAAAAUGAAUAUAAAGGGAUGUAUCUAGAACUAAAAUAUGUUUAGAUACAUCUCUUUUUAUCCAUUUUGAUAACAAGUAUUUCCGGACAGAGGGAGUGCUUCAGUUUGCAUGAGAACAACCGCUUAUAUGUGUGCCUCAAUAGUAAAGUAGGAUUGCUUGGAUUAUUUUCUGUAGUAUUUUUUCCAGUUUUAAAUGUUUAGUUUCUUAACUUAUUAUGAGGCUUGCAUCGAUCAAAGAAAUCAUGCUCCCUUGGCUUAAUCAAAUGUACUUAUGUUUGCUAAUUUAUUUUUAGUGUGUGUUUCCUCCUACUAUCUUAUUAUUCUAUAGCUAACUAUAUUUUGGAAUCUGGUGGGUGCAAAGAAAAUGGCAGUUUCUAGAUUUCUGUAGUAUUUCUGGGUAACAACAGGUUCCAAAGUGACGGGCAUUGCUAAAUCAGAUAACAUACUAUUCAAAAAGAGAACACAUUCAUCCCUUCAUUUUAGAGAUUCAAUAAAGCAAGCAAAACUUGGAAUCCAAGUCAGAAUACCAACUAUUGUACUACUGAAUGCACAUUUAUUUGCCGACAUGAAACUAUCUAUCACAUGUAGGUGUGUUUGCUCCUCGGAGCAUAGCAAAAUGAUAUGCUCUUACAUAAACAUUAUCUUGCUUACAGUGUUAAUUCAAAGCCUUAAUUCAAGGUCGGAUCUUGCUUACAAUGUCAAUAUAAUCGCUUUUAAUCUCUUUCAAGAUUAAUAAACUGCACAUGCAUGGCACGCAAAUAGGACAAACUUGACUAGAUCUACACAUAUAUUUUUAUCACUUCUAAUAUCUCAUCGACUGUUUACAUGCCAUAUUGCAUACCAAGAAUACAAGAGUGCUGACUUUAUUUUAUUUUAUUUUAUUUUAUUUUAUUUUAUUUCUGAAAUAGUUCCCAAUUAGGCUUACAAUUAUUUUAUAUUAGUGUUACUUCCUUUGUCAAGCUUAUGAAGAAUGUAUUUCCUUGAACAGUAUUUCAUCCAUUUGGAUUUAGGUGACAUGUGUGGUGGCACGAGAAAAUGGAAGGCCCUAAGCUGAAGGAGAGCAUCAAUUGACAUGAGUGAUAAGCAAUAUCUAUUAGAAACACAUACUAUCAGGCUAAUGCAAACCACUUGGGUAUGAAGUAUACUUACCACAACUUUCUAGGUGUUGAUCAACUUGUGUUUUCUUGUUAGUAAAAGAAACAUGUUGUUUUUUUGUGGUUCAUGGAUUCAUGCUCAAUGUUGAAUUAUUAUCUGAUCUGCAGAAGCAUGUCUUACUGCUGCUCAAGGUCACAUGAUUUAUAAUUUAUAACUACAAUUAUUUAAAUCAGUAUCUUGCACGAAGUCCUGACAUCUGGCUUUAUCAAAGAUUCCACUAUGUUUAUUUCUCCAUCAUAUCGCACAAUGAAUAAUAACAGUAGAUAGAUAUCCCCUUUUUAUGCAAUGAAUUUCAUGAAAUAAAACAGCGUCCAUCACCGUCUCUGAUGUAAUCUUAAGUGCACAUGCAUGGCUUAAUGUCACUGCUAUCUCGUAGUUUCACAUGCUAUUCAAGUUUACGGCAUACAGUACUUAACAUAUAAGUUGUGUCAUAGUAUUAGUGUCAUCUUUGGCUGCUUCCUUUCUUGAAUUUUCCGAUGACAGUGUACAUGCCUUAACAUAUUCGAAGUUGUUGAUUUUUUUGUUGCAAAUAUAAUAUUUAGUAAUUUAACGUGAGCCCUUGCAGGUCCAAUUAAAGCUAUUUGACCAGAAGCUAGGUGAUAUGUGCUCAAAAGAAUCUACCCUGUUAUGCACCAGUUUUUUGCCUUAACAUUGUUUCUGCAAUUACACUAUAUAUCUUGUAUUAACUGGAUUUUUAAGAUGACGAUUAAGGAAUUCAUCUACAAUUAGGAACUUACUUCGCGACAAGGAAGGUCCAGUGGUUGGGCAACAACAUGUGGAAGGAUAAUUACUGGAUACAUUUUUUUAGCGAACAACAGCGGAGCGAUUUGAUGUCUCAAAACAUGUAAGCUGACUUGCCCUCCAUGGAAUGGAAUGACUACAAAAACUUUUGUCAUUUCAUCUAAGAAUAUUUUAAAUUAGUUAAUAAAUCAUACAGACUUGAUAUUUUCUUGGUCUCAUGCAACUAUGUGUGGUUUCUUACUUUACUCCACAAUCAUCUGUGGCAAUUAUGAGGUAUUUUUCGCCAUUCGUAUUUAUUCCUUAAUUUUACUAUGAAUAUAUGAGAGUACACACCAAGGGGUUCGCAAAAAGUACAAAAAAACUAGGAGACAAGCACGAGUCACCUUAUGAGGUGAUGAUGUAGGAGACACAAUGAGGUGAAAGAGACGUGAUGGACAUAGAAGAGUAAACCCACGAGGAUAAAGAGAUGUCAUGCACAUAGAAGGAGGAAGCGAGGACCUCGAUCCACAUUAUCAAAGACAUAGAUAAGAACAAGAGUAUCACACUUCCCACAUCGACCAACUAAUGACACAUGUUGCUAUUGGGGCAUAUCACCCUCCCUUGCAUUAUACAUAUUAAUAUUAAGAUGAAACACUUCGUUGAAUGCAUUUCUAUUAUAUUGUUCUAUGGCAACACCCGAGCAUUCUGCUAGAAAGGAUGCUCGGGUGUAGACAGAAUCAUAUAUUAUAUCAUUAUUAGUAUCAACAUGUUUCUAAAUGUUUUCAUACUCAGUAUAUGAUGUUAGAUUCAACAUGAGAUCUAAAGUUUUGUGUGAAGCCAAAUAUGCAGGUGUUAGCAAUACUGUUUGAUAGCUUGGGGGUACGAUGUGGCAAACGCGCAACGGCUGGCUAGCUGUGUUGGAGAGCAAGAGAUGUCCAGCGAGAAACAUCCCACUACAUGUUGGGGAAUGUAGUAAUUUCAAAAAAUUUCCUACGCACACGCAAGAUCAUGGUGAUGCAUAGCAACGAGAAGGGAGAGUGUUGUCUACGUACCCACGCAGACCGACUGCGGAAGCAUUGACACAACAUAGAGGAAGUAGUCGUACGUCUUCCCGAUCCGACCGAUCCAAGCACCGUUACUCCGGCACCUCCGAGUUCUUAGCACACGUACAGCUCGAUGACGAUCCCCGGGCUCCGAUCCAGCAAAGCGUCGGGGAAGAGUUCCGUCAGCACGACGGCGUGGUGAUGAUCUUGAUGUUCUACCGACGCAGGGCUUCGCCUAAGCACUACAACGAUAUGAUCGAGGUGGAAUAUGGUGGCAGGGGGCACCGCACACGGCUAAGAAAUGAUCUCAAGGAUCAACUUGUGUGUCUAGAGGUGCCCCCCUGCCCCUGUAUAUAAAGGAGCCAAGGAGGAGGGGCUGGCUGGCCAAGGAGGGUGCGCCAGGAGAGUCCUACUCCCUCUGGGAAUAGGAUUCCCCCCCAAUCCUAGUUGGAAUAGGAUUCCUUAAGGGGGGGAAAGGAGAGGGGGGGCCGGCCACCUCUUCUAGUCCUAAUAGGACUAGGGGAGGGGGGAGGCGCGCGGCCACCUUGGGCUGCCCCUUUCUUCUUUCCACUAAAGCCCAUUAAGGCCCAUAUAGCUCCCGGGGGGUUCCGGUAACCUCCCGGUACUCCGGUAAAAUCCUGAUUUCACCCGGAACACUUCCGAUAUCCAAACAUAGGCUUUCAAUAUAUCAAUCUUUAUGUCUCGACCAUUUCAAGACUCCUCGUCAUGUCCGUGAUCACAUUCGGGACUCCGAACUAACUUCGGUACAUCAAAAUGCAUAAACUCAUAAUAACUGUCAUCGUAACGUUAAGCGUGCGGACCCUACAGUUCGAGAAUAAUGUAGACAUGACUGAGACACAUCUCCAGUCAAUAACCAAUAGCGGGACCUGGAUGCCCAUAUUGGCUCCUACAUAUUCUACGAAGAUCUUUAUCGGUCAGACCGCAUAACAACAUACGUUGUUCCCUUUGUCAUCGAUAUGUUACUUGCCCGAGAUUCGAUCGUCGGUAUCCAAUACCUAGUUCAAUCUCGUUACCGGCAAGUCCCUUUACUCGUUCUGUAAUACAUCAUCCCGCAACUAACUCAUUAGUUGCAAUGCUUGCAAGGCUUAUGUGAUGUGCAUUACCGAGAGGGCCCAGAGAUACCUCUCCGACAAUCGGAGUGACAAAUCCUAAUCUCGAAAUACGCCAACCCAACAUCUACCUUUGGAGACACCUGUAGAGCUCCUUUAUAAUCACCCAUUUACGUUGUGACGUUUGGUAGCACAGAAAGUAUUCCUCCGGCAAACGGGAGUUGCAUAAUCUCAUAGUCAUAGGAACAUGUAUAAGUCAUGAAGAAAGCAAUAGCAACAUACUAAACGAUCGGGUGCUAAGCUAAUGGAAUGGGUCAUGUCAAUCAGAUCAUUCAACUAAUGAUGUGACCUCGUUAAUCAAAUAACAACUCUUUGUUCAUGGUUAGCAAACAUAACCAUCUUUGAUUAACGAGCUAGUCAAGUAGAGGCAUACUAGUGACACUCUGUUUGUCUAUGUAUUCACACAUGUAUUAUGUUUUCGGUUAAUACAAUUCUAGCAUGAAUAAUAAACAUUUAUCAUGAUAUAAGGAAAUAAAUAAUAACUUUAUUAUUGCCUCUAGGGCAUAUUUCCGUCAGUCUCCCACUUGCACUAGAGUCAAUAAUCUAGAUUACACUGUAAUGAUUCUAACACCCAUGGAGUCUUGGUGUUGAUCAUGUUUUGCUCGUGGAAGAGGCUUAGUCAACGAGUCUGCAACAUUCAGAUCUGUAUGUAUCUUGCAAAUCUCUAUGUCUCCCACCUGGACUAGAUUCCGGAUGGAAUUGAAGCGUCUCUUGAUGUGCUUGGUCCUUUUGUGAAAUCUGGAUUCCUUUGCCAAGGCAAUUGCACCAGUAUUGUCACAAAAGAUUUUCAUUGGACCCGAUGCACUAGGUAUGACACCUAGAUCGGAUAUGAACUCCUUCAUCCAGACUCCUUCGUUCGCUGCUUCCGAAGCAGCUAUGUACUCCGCUUCACAUGUAGAUCCCGCUAUGACGCUUUGUUUAGAACUGCACCAACUGACAGCUCCACCGUUUAAUGUAAACACGUAUCCGGUUUGCGAUUUAGAAUCGUCCGGAUUAGUGUCAAAGCUUGCAUCAACGUAACCUUUUACGGUGAGCUCUUUGUCACCUCCAUAUACGAUAAACAUAUCCUUAGUCCUUUUCAGGUAUUUCAGGAUGUUCUUGACCGCUGUCCAGUGAUCCACUCCUAGAUUACUUUGAUACCUUCCUCCUAGACUUAUAGCAAGGCACACAUCAGGUCUGGUACACAGCAUUGCAUACAUGAUAGAGCCUAUGGCUGAAGCAUAGGGAACAUCUUUCAUUUUCUCUCUAUCUUCUGCAGUGGUCGGGCAUUGAGUCUGACUCAACUUCACACCUUGUAACAUAGGCAAGAACCCUUUCUUUGCUUGAUCCAUUUUGAACUUCUUCAAAAUCUUGUCAAGGUAUGUGCUUUGUGAAAGUCCAAUUAAGCGUCUUGAUCUAUCUUUAUAGAUCUUUAUGCCUAAUAUGUAAGCAGCUUCACCGAGGUCUUUCAUUGAAAAACUCUUAUUCAAGUAUCCCUUUAUGCUAUCCAGAAAUUCUAUAUCAUUUCCAAUCAGUAAUAUGUCAUCCACAUAUAAUAUCAGAAAUGCUACAGAGCUCCCACCCACUUUCUUGUAAAUACAGGCUUCUCCGAAAGUCUGUAUAAAACCAAAUGCUUUGAUCACACUAUCAAAGCGUUUAUUCCAACUCCGAGAGGCUUGCACCAGUCCAUAAAUGGAUCGCUGGAGCUUGCACACUUUGUUAGCUCCUUUUGGAUUGACAAAACCUUCCAGUUGCAUCAUAUACAACUCUUCUUCCAGAAAUCCAUUCAGGAAUGCAGUUUUGACAUCCAUCUGCCAAAUUUCAUAAUCAUAAAAUGCGGCAAUUGCUAACAUGAUUCGGACAGACUUAAGCAUCGCUACGGGUGAGAAGGUCUCAUCGUAGUCAACCCCUUGAACUUGUCGAAAACCUUUUGCGACAAGUCGAGCUUUGUAGACAGUAACAUUACCAUCAGCGUCAGUCUUCUUCUUGAAGAUCCAUUUAUUCCCAAUUGCUUGCCGAUCAUCGGGCAAGUCAACCAAAGUCCAUACUUUAUUCUCAUACAUGGAUCCCAUCUCAGAUUUCAUGGCUUCAAGCCACUUUGCGGAAUCUGGGCUUACCAUCGCUUCUUCAUAGUUUGUAGGUUCAUCAUGAUCUAGCAGCAUGAUUUCCAGAACAGGAUUACCGUACCACUCUGGUGCGGAUCUCGCUCUGGUUUAUCUACGAGGUUCAGUAGUAUCUUGUCCUGAAGUUUCAUGAUCAUCAUCAUUAGCUUCCUCACUAAUUGGUAUAGGUGUCGCAGAAACAGUUUUCUGUGAUGUACUACUUUCCAAUAAGGGAGCAGGUACAGUUACCUCGUCAAGUUCUACUUUCCUCCCACUCACUUCUUUCGAGAGAAACUCUUUCUAUAGAAAGGAUCCAUUCUUAGCAACGAAUAUCUUGCCUUCGGAUCUGUGAUAGAAGGUGUACCCAACAGUCUCCUUUGGGUAUCCUAUGAAGACACAUUUCUCCAAUUUGGGUUCGAGCUUAUCAGGUUGAAGCUUUUUCACAUAAGCAUCGCAGCCCCAAACUUUAAGAAACGACAACUUUGGUUUCUUGCCAAACCACAGUUCAUAAGGCGUCGUCUCAACGGAUUUUGAUGGUGCCCUAUUUAACGUGAAUGCGGCCGUCUCUAAAGCAUAACCCCAAAACGAUAGUGGUAAAUCAGUAAGAGACAUCAUAGAUCGCACCAUAUCUAGUAAAGUACGAUUACGACGUUCGGACACACCAUUACGCUGUGGUGUUCCGGGUGGCAUGAGUUGCGAAACUAUUCCACAAUUUUUCAAAUGUACACCAAACUCGUAACUCAAAUAUUCUCCUCCACGAUCAGAUCGUAGAAACUUUAUUUUCUUGUUACGAUGAUUUUCAACUUCACUCUGAAAUUCUUUGAACUUUUCAAAUGUUUCAGACUUGUGUUUCAUCAAGUAGAUAUACCCAUAUCUGCUUAAAUCAUCUGUGAAGGUGAGAAAAUAACGAUAUCCGCCACGAGCCUCAAUAUUCAUCGGACCACAUACAUCGGUAUGUAUGAUUUCCAACAAAUCUGUUGCUCUCUCCAUAGUACCGGAGAACGGUGUUUUAGUCAUCUUGCCUAUGAGGCAUGGUUCGCAAGUACCAAGUGAUUCAUAAUCAAGUGGUUCCAAAAGUCCAUCAGUAUGGAGUUUCUUCAUGCGCUUUAUACCGAUAUGACCUAAAACGGCAGUGCCACAAAUAAGUUGCACUAUCAUUAUCAACUCUGCAUCUUUUGGCUUCAACAUUAUGAAUAUGUGUGUUACUACUAUCGAGAUUCAUCAAAAAUAGACCACUCUUCAAAGGUGCAUGACCAUAAAAGAUAUUACUCAUAUAAAUAGAACAACCAUUAUUCUUUGAUUUAAAUGAAUAACCGUCUCGCAUCAAACAAGAUCCAGAUAUAAUGUUCAUGCUCAAUGCUGGCACCAAAUAACAAUUAUUUAGGUCUAAUAUUAAUCCCGAAGGUAGAUGUAGAGGUAGCGUGCCGACCGCGAUCACAUCGACUUUGGAACCGUUUCCCACGCGCAUCGUCACCUCGUCCUUUGUCAGUGUUUGCUUAAUCCGUAGUCCCUGUUUCGAGUUGCAAAUAUUAGCAACAGAACCAGUAUCAAAUACCCAGGUGCUACUGCAAGCUCUAGUAAGGUACACAUCAAUAACAUAUAUAUCACAUAUACCUUUGUUCACCUUGCCAUCCUUCUUAUCCGCCAAAUACUUGGGGUAGUUCCGCUUCCAGUGACCAGUCUGCUUGCAGUAGAAACACUCAGUUUCAGGCUUAGGUCCAGACUUGGGUUUCUUCUCCUGAGCAGCAACUUGCUUACUGUUCUUCUUGAAGUUCCCCUUCUUCUUCCCUUUACCCUUUUUCUUGAAACUAGUGGUCUUGUUAACCAUCAACACUUGAUGCUCCUUCUUGAUUUCUACCUCCGCAGCUUUCAGCAUUGCGAAGAUCUCGGGAGUAGUCUUGUUCAUCCCUUGCAUAUUAUAGUUCAUCACAAAGCUCUUGUAGCUUGGUGGCAGUGAUUGGAGAAUUCUGUCAAUGAUGCAAUCAUCUGGAAGAUUAACUCCCAUCUGAAUCAAGUGAUUAUUAUACCCAGACAUUUUGAGUAUAUGCUCACUGACAGAACUGUUCUCCUCCAUCUUGCAGCUAUAGAACUUAUUGGAGACUUCAUAUCUCUCAAUCCGGGCAUUUGCUUGAAAUAUUAACUUCAACUCCUGGAACAUCUCAUAUGCUCCAUGACGUUCAAAACGUCGUUGAAGUCCCGAUUCUAAGCCGUAAAGCAUGGCACACUGAACUAUCGAGUAGUCAUCAGCUUUGCUCUGCCAGACGUUCAUAACAUCAGGUAUUGCUCCAGCAGCAGGCCUGGCACCCAGCGGUGCUUCCAGGACGUAAUUCUUCUGAGCAGCAAUGAGGAUAAUCCUCAAGUUACGGACCCAGUCCGUGUAAUUGCUACCAUCAUCUUUCAACUUUGCUUUCUCAAGGAAUGCAUUAAAAUUCAACGGGACAACAGCACGAGCCAUCUAUCUACAAUCAACAUAAACAAGCAAGAUACUAUCAGGUACUAAGUUCAUGAUAAGUUUAAGUUCAAUUAAUCAAAUUACUUAAGAACUCCCACUUAGAUAGACAUCCCUCUAAUCCUCUAAGUGAUCACGUGAUCCAAAUCAACUAAACCAUAACCGAUCAUCACGUGAGAUGGAGUAGUUUUCAAUGGUGAACAUCGUUAUGUUGAUCAUAUCUACUAUAUGAUUCACGUUAGACCUUUCGGUCUCCGUGUUCCGAGGCCAUAUCUGCAUAUGCUAGGCUCGUCAAGUUUAACCUUAGUAUUCUGCGUGUGCAAAAACUGGCUUGCACCCGUUGUAGAUGGACGUAGAGCUUAUCAUACCCAAUCAUCACGUGGUGUCUGGGCACGACGAACUUUGGCAACGGUGCAUACUCAGGGAGAACACUUCUUGAUAAUUUAGUGAGAGAUCAUCUUAUAAUGCUACCGUCAAUCAAAGCAAGAUAAGAUGCAUAAAAAGAUAAACAUCACAUGCAAUCAAUAUAAGUGAUAUGAUAUGGCCAUCAUCAUCUUGUGCUUGUGAUCUCCAUCUCCGAAGCAUCGUCAUGAUCACCAUCGUCACCGGCGCGACACCUUGAUCUCCAUCGUAGCAUCGUUGUCGUCUCGCCAAUCUUAUGCUUCUACGACUAUCGCUACCGUUUAGUGAUAAAGUAAAGCAUUACAUCGCGAUUGCAUUGCAUACAAUAAAGCGACAACCAUAUGGCUCCUGCCAGUUGCCGAUAACUUGGUUACAAAACAUGAUCAUCUCAUACAAUAAAAUUUAGCAUCAUGUCUUGGCCAUAUCACAUCACAACAUGCCCUGCAAAAACAAGUUAGACGUCCUCUACUUUGUUGUUGCAAGUUUUACGUGGCUGCUACGGGCUUAAGCAAGAACCAAUCUCACCUACGCAUCAAAACCACAACGAUAGUUUGUCAAAUAGACUCCGUUUUAACCUUCGCAAGGACCGGGCGUAGCCACACUCGGUUCAACUAAAGUUGGAGAGACAGUCGCCCGCAAGCCACCUAUGUGCAAAGCACGUCGGGGAAACCGGUCUCGCGUAAGCGUACGCGUAAUGUUGGUCCGGGUCGUCUCGUCCAACAAUACCGUUGAACCAAAGUAUGACAUGGCAGUAUGACUUAUAUCGCCCACAACUCACUUGUGUUCUACUCGUGCAAAUAACAUCAAACCAUAAAACCUAGGCUCGGAUGCCACUAUUGGGGAACAUAGUAAUUUCAAAAAAAUUCCUAUGCACACGCAAGAUCAUGGUGAUGCAUAGCAACGAGAAGGGAGAGUGUUGUCUACGUACCCACGCAGACCGACUGCGGAAGCAUUGACACAACAUAGAGGAAGUAGUCGUACGUCUUCCCGAUCCGACCGAUCCAAGCACCGUUACUCCGGCACCUCCGAGUUCUUAGCACACGUACAGCUCGAUGACGAUUCCCGGGCUCCGAUCCAGCAAAGCGUCGGGGAAGAGUUCCGUCAGCACGACGGCGUGGUGACGAUCUUGAUGUUCUACCGACGCAGGGCUUCGCCUAAGCACUACAACGAUAUGAUCGAGGUGGAAUAUGGUGGCAGGAGGCACCGCACACAGCUAAGGAACGAUCUCAAGGAUCAACUUGUGUAUCUAGAGGUGCCCCCCUGCCCCUGUAUAUAAAGGAGCCAAGGGGGAGGGGCUGGCUGGCCAAGGAGGGUGCGCCAGGAGAGUCCUACUCCCUCUGGGAGUAGGAUUCCCCCCCCCCCCCAAUCCUAGUUGGAAUAGGAUUCCUUAAGGGGGGGGGAAGAGAGAGAGGGGGGCCGGCCACCUCUCCUAGUCCUAAUAGGACUAGGGGAGGGGGGAGGCGCGCGGCCACCUUGGGCUGCCCCUUUCUUCUUUCCACUAAAGCCCACUAAGGCCCAUAUAGCUCCCGGGGGGUUCCGGUAACCUCCCGGUACUCCGGUAAAAUCCCGAUUUCAUCCGGAACACUUCCGAUAUCCAAACAUAGGCUUCCAAUAUAUCAAUCUUUAUGUCUCGACCAUUUUGAGACUCGUCGUCAUGUCCGUGAUCACAUCCGGGACUCCGAACUAACUUCGGUACAUCAAAAUGCAUAAACUCAUAAUAACUGUCAUCGUAACGUUAAGCGUGCGGACCCUACGGUUCAAGAAUAAUGUAGACAUGACUGAGACACAUCUCCGGUCAAUAACCAAUAGUGGGACCUGGAUGCCCAUAUUGGCUCCUACAUAUUCUACGAAGAUCUUUAUCGGUCAGACCGCAUAACAACAUGCGUUGUUCCCUUUGUCAUCGGUAUGUUACUUGCCCGAGAUUCGAUCGUCGGUAUCCAAUACCUAGUUCAAUCUCGUUACCGGCAAGUCUCUUUACUCGUUCUGUAAUACAUCAUCCCGCAACUAACUCAUUAGUUGCAAUGCUUGCAAGGCUUGUGUGAUGUGCAUUACCGAGAGGGCCCAGAGAUACCUCUCCGACAAUCGGAGUGACAAAUCCUAAUCUUGAAAUACGCCAACCCAACAUCUACCUUUGGAGACACCUGUAGAGCUUCUUUAUAAUCACCCAUUUACGUUGUGACGUUUGGUAGCACAGAAAGUAUUCCUCCGGCAAACGGGAGUUGCAUAAUCUCAUAGUCAUAGGAACAUGUAUAAUUCAUGAAGAAAGCAAUAGCAACAUACUAAACGAUCGGGUGCUAAGCUAAUGGAAUGGGUCAUGUCAAUCAGAUCAUUCAACUAAUGAUGUGACCUCGUUAAUCAAAUAACAACUCUUUGUUCAUGGUUAGCAAACAUAACCAUCUUUGAUUAACGAGCUAGUCAAGUAGAGGCAUACUAGUGACACUCUGUUUGUCUAUGUAUUCACACAUGUAUUAUGUUUCCGGUUAAUACAAUUCUAGCAUGAAUAAUAAACAUUUAUCAUGAUAUAAGGAAAUAAAUAAUAACUUUAUUAUUGCCUCUAGGGCAUAUUUCCUUCACUACAAUGGGAAACCGAGCGGGAAGGGGAGAGUCAGAUAGGAAAACCGAAGUUUUUGUCGUGGGAUGGGGGUUUUGUGUUGCGCCCUUGGGUUGGAGAUAACAAAUGGCGGAUAGUCCGGACAAUGACAUUUCUCCCCCACAUAUGAUCUGGAUUUCGGAAAGUCUGGACUGUCCAGACGGUUGAAUUUUGGGGAGCCCAUUGGGCACCGGACGUAUGAGGAAGAAAUGAGUUUCGAAUUUAAAGACGACUUUAAUCAUUUAUUUAAUUCAUUUAUGUGUGUUGUAGCCCGUAGCAACGCACGGGCAUUCUACUAGUAUAAGUUAUAACUCUGCUAUACUGCCAAUUUCUUGCAUGCUCAUAUGUAUGUUGUAUGGCAUUUAAUUUCUUUUGGUGGUCCUUUCCCUCUUUGAAUUGAAUGCCAACAUAGUAGAACAUGUACUGCAUAAGGUUCAGCAGGCUGGGUCUAACAAGGUAAAUCAUUAUUUCUCAUGCGGAAGUUUGCAGGAUUAUGCACACACAUUGUUUCGUUUCGUUGACCAUAGAACAUGAUUUGCUCUUUAUUUUCUCUCCUAUGCCUAAGGCUUUGAGCUCCUUCGAAAUCAUUACUAUAAUGAAAAGGAUGAGAAGUGAGUCCUUUAGACAUGGAACACACAUAAGUUCUUUGAAGAUCAUUUUAUUUGGGAUGUCAAUAACAGUUCUACCAAUUUGCAUCAAUUGUUUAUAUGCUAUACAAACCAUCACUUGGCCCUCUAUUGUCAUUAAUCAGAUGCACGGAAUUUGUGAAUAUAUAAAUAUUCUGGCUGAAGAUAGAACCAACUUGUGAUGGUUCCAUGUGGUACAUAUAACUGAAAUUGGUCAGAUGUUUCUAUAUUUCUUUCGUUAAGACAUCUUUUUUCCUUUGUUAAGAUGUGUCUAAGAUGGGCGGGCGCCGCAACGCGCGCCUUUAUGAUCUAGUACAGCGUGAUGGCGCUGGUGCGCAACUGUUGGUGCAGCACAUUCACCAUUAAUUAUAUUGUUUUUAACACAGUAUAAACGUAAGUGCUCAUAUAUUUAUACGCGCAUAUAUUCACCCCUUGUGAAUGCACGUACGCACACUCUAUCCCUAUGAGCACCUCUGAAAGACUGAGUUAGUAUAUUAUCUAAAUUUUACAAAGUCACCAUAGGCGCCUAUCCGGGAUAAAUGCAAGCAUCAUGACUUGAAUUCUGAUGGGCUGGGGAUAUCACUGUGCUCCUAACCAUUCAACCACAUAUUGGUUCACCGGGACUAAUCAUACCGGUGUAGCCAAGUCUUAUUUAAAAACUAUGGACCAAACUUCAUCCCAUAUAGUUGAACAACACUAGGGGUAGAAACGGAUCGGAUGCGGAUCGGAUAGUGCUCUUGCCACUUCCAUUUUCAUAUUUUCAAAACGAAUACGAAUUCGAAUACGGAUGUUAUCGGAUACGGAUGCGGCUCGGAUAUUAUUCAAAUACGGAUACGUAUCGGAUAUUUUCUUGAUUCGGAACGGAUACGAAUAAUAUCAACAUAUUGCUUAAGUAAAUCAGUCGAUAGCUAUGUGAACUGAAAUAAUCAACUUGUGACAUACAAUAAGUCAAUGAUAAAUAGGUUUAUGAAUAAAUACUAUUGUAAUGCAUAAUAAUUUAUAAGUUUAAUCAUAUAAAGAGUAAAAUUUGACCACUUAUUUGGCUUUUAUGUUGGAUAAUUGGAAUAUUGAGUCUAGAAAUUUGAAAAUUACCUCCCAUAAUCUUAUUCGGAUACGGAUAUAUCCACUUUCAUAUCCAUGUUUGUCUCAAAAUCUCCUACCAUAUUUUAUUUUUUAUUUGUUUAAUAAAUUCGGAUACGGAUAAUUUCCAUUUCCAUUUUGGUUCGGAUGCGGAUGUUUCGGAUACAAAUAGGCAUUUUCUCGAAUACGAAUAUCGGAUAUUUCGGAUUAUCCGCUAUCAAUUUCCACCCCUAAACAACACGCUGUUGCGGUCUGAUGUAGUUGCUACUCAUUUGUUUCUAAAGUAACUUGUAAUCAACUACUUCUUCCGUUUUGAAAUAGAUGACUCAACUUUAUACAAAGUUAGUAUAAAGUUGAGUCAUCUAUUUUGGAACGGAGGGAGUACUUCUGAUGAGAACAAAUCAAUAAAGUACCUUGUAAUCAAACUACUGAGAUAAUUUGUACCUUCUCUCCGUACCCAUGUAUAAUCAAGUAGCCUCUUAAUGUACUUUUCCUUUUUCUUCUUUGAAGCAAGUUUAUGAAGAAAAGAAUGAUGUAUUCUGAUCUCCAUGAAGCAACCAAUUAGCUCGUCCUCUCUAUAAAAACAAUUCUUCAUGAUACCGAAGAUUCUCAAUAUCUAGCCUAACAAAAAGAAGGUUAUCAAUAUUUGAAGAUCUUUUUUAUCCCUAAUCUCCCCGUCAGAUCACUUUGUCUCCAUUUCUGAAGGUCUUUUUUUAGCUUCGAUAUCCUCUUAUUUGGGCCUUUCAGAACCUCCAGAUCCCUCUGGUGUAGAUCUUUAUGAACAGCCUUGGUACAAUCAGGCAAGGGUGGCCUAGCUUGCUGGAUCCCAAGCCAAUUGGACUACCGCAUUGACGGUUUCUUCACACAACCAACGGGCUUCAAACUAUUUUCGGGCCUUCGAUUGUUGAGACAAAACAAAUUUUAAAAAAAUAUGAAGGAAAAUAGAUCAAUGGUCUGAAUGGACACGGUGCUCAUGAACCAACGCAUAUGGCAAUUUAUCCGCACACGCCUCAUUACUUGGUGAUGCCCUGGCUCCAGGUAAACUGAUCACCAAUAACAGUGGUCUGUUGAAGUCCACACAACCUCUGAAAUUAUGCAUCAAUUGUUGAGGUCGAACAUUACCACCCUCCUUCUCACUUGCAACCAAUCUCUCAUUAAAAUCACAGUAACUAACCAUGGACCAGCCGCAUUCCGUUGCGCGAGUAUGUCCAGGACAGGUGCUUCCUAUCCCAAGUUGGUUGUCCAUAAUAUCCUGUCAAGCGCCAUGAAGCAUCAUUUUCACCCAUAACAAUUGCAUCAAUAAAUUUUUCUAAAGAAUAGUUCAACACCACUUUAUUAGAUUGGUUAUAAAAAAGGACAAGGUUCCCCGAGCGACCAUCACUCUUUUUUUUUCAAGAAACUUCCAAUCUAUUUAUCGUCAAUCAUGGUGGUACAACAAACACCAGAAAUAAUAAAAAUUACAUCGAGAUAUGUAGACCACCUAGCGACGACUACAAGCACUGAAGCGAGCCGAAUGCGCGCAGUCGUCAUUGCCCCUCCCACACACGCAUACCUUACCACUAUGAGUACCUCCGACAAACUGAGGCGGCAUAUCAUCUUGAGAUGGACGAAGUCACCAAAGGCGUCUCGUAGUCGACGGGAACGUCUCCUCCCAUUAAACGCGCAUCGCAGAAAAUCCUGAAAUAAAUUCAGCAAUAAAUGUGAGCAAAAGGAUAUGAACUCUGGUGGACUGGGGAUACCACUGUCCACCUAACCAUUCAACCACAGAUUGGUAUUGCUAUGUACAAUUUGGGGUCAUGAUGACCGGAUAGCAGAUUGUGGAGCUUGUAUUUUUUUGUUUCUAUAAUAGCCGCAUGACCUGAAAGGUUUCUUUCCAUCCGGGGCAAUUAUCGUGUCAGUUAAUGGGGGGUGGGGGUGGAUAAACUGGUCACACGAUGCAUAGUUUUAACUUUCUACACCGUGAUAAAAUAAAAGGAAAUGAUUUUCUUCACCUGGCCUAUCCAUCGCGGGGCAUCCGCCGCCUCUAGUGUGCAGACGCGUGUCCUAUGUGGACCCUAUGCGUCGCUCUAUAUUUUUUCUUAUUCCCACCCAUGGUUGACCUUUGUUGAAGAAAAAGCUACAACAAGACCUCUGUUGCAAAAGUUUAUAUAUGCAGAAGACCUCUAUUUUUGCAAAAAAAAAAAGGAUUCUACAACAUGACCUAUGUUGCAAUGAUAGGCAAUAAAGAAAAAGAACAAAAGAUUAAACAAUUUGCAACAACUCUCUUGUUGCAGAAGGCAAAGCACAAUAAGGCUCAUGUUAGAUAGAUCGGAGGAAGAGAAAAAUGGUUUGAGGCUUUUUACGGUUAGUCCGUAGUUCGAAGCCUUUUGCAACAAAUCCUCUGUUGUAGAGAGACGGGUGCAACAACAUGCUUGUUGCAACUUCAUUUGCUCAUGUGAAGAAGAUGUAGUGACUUUCUUUGUCUUAGUCCGACGGCUAUGGAGGUGGACGAUCUUUUCCAUUGCUUAAACCGGCCAACACCUAGUGCAGCCCAUAAAAUAAUUCCCGGUGCCUUUCAAGCCUAUGCAACUCGUAUGGAACACACUUUCUACUCUCUUGAUGUAUGGAUUGUCUCAUCGUUUCUAGAGGAAAAUAAUUUGAAAUUGAGAGGCACGGAAGAGAUUGAUGUUUAUCAGUUGAGAAUUGAUGACAUGAAGGUGCCCCGCUGCCCACCGCAUUGCAUGGUUUUGUGUGGGCCCAUAAUAUUUCAGCACCUAUAAAUGAGCUCAGUUUGGGCAUCAUGACAUUUAUGUGUGUCAAACCACAUAUUUGUCGCGUCAUAGGCUCUCACCGAUUCCACGCCUCCCAACUAUAAACAUUCACGAAGAAUUAAAGCAUACAACCAGCCUACUAUAUCAAGUUGUGCUGAGAGCAGAGCAUCUCCAAUAACUGCCCUAUAAUAGGGCACCAAAAUUUGCUUGAAGUAAAAUUUGGGAUACAAAAAAGUGUUUUUAGGGCACGAGAAAGUGAGUGUCUCCAAAAGUUGCCCUAAAAUGGGGUAUUGAAUAGGGCACCAUUGCUCCAACAACUGCCAUAAAAAUAGGGCAACCGCACCACAUCUUUCUUCUCCACAUAUGGAUAGAAAUUAAACUUUGCAAGAUUUCCUUGAGUGUCUUCUCCACCAACAGCUGCUCACAAAAUUCAAUUACUGAACUUGAGUGUCUUCUCCACCAACAGCUGCUCAAAAAAUUCAACUACUAAAACCAAAUCUAACAGGAAGACCGACAAAAUCAAAGUAGAUACUAAAUUUGAGUGUCUUCUUUUAAUUUCUUUGUAUUGCACAGAACUACACACCAAAAUGGCAUGGGAUACAAUUUCAGCGAAUAACAAACGAAAUUGACAAGAAGUUCCUUUGUAACUUUCUUCAGUAAAAGGAACAGUGAAAGUCUGAACUUUCUGAAAACUAACACCUGCAUCUUGGCCUCUUACACUUUCGUCAGAAAAAGGAAAGCUGGAAACUGAACUUUACUAAUGAAUUACAUCGGGACUAGCAGCGGCGCAUUCAAGCAGCACCUCCACGACCCGUACAAACUCCAACAACCCAUUCUGCAGCACCACCACACAAACCACUAACUAGCCAUCAGGCUUUCAUUUAGCUUUGUACUCUCUCUGUAAACUAAUAUAAGAUUAUUUAGGUCACUAGAGGGAAUAUAUGAUAAAUGUGUUUGCUUUCGCAAAAAAAAAAAAUAUGAUAAAUGUGUUUGGAAGAGGGCUAACUUGCUUUAUUUGGAAUCGCCAAGGUGAAUCUAACUUCCUUUUUUCUUGGCAAAACAAAAUAACUGCACUAUCGUGCUACAAUCAGCAACAGAAUUGGUCACUACCCAUGCCAUGCAAUUCAGCUCAAUUCACUCUAUUAAAAAACUUCAAGUCAUAGCACGAGAAAUUUCCACUUUAAAGGAAUCGAAACAUCCUCACCACGCAACCCAGUAGAAAUGAAACAAUCCUACAUGCUCAACCCACAACAACGGAAGCUCCGAGCCGCACUAGCCCCGGGUCACCGCAAUUGCAUUUGAGAACUUAGCCAUGGCCUCGACAACAACAUUGAAGAAGGCGUCGGAGCCAAAGCCCUUUGUCUGGAUGUGCUAGCAAAGCUCCGCCACCACCCAUGGAGCUCGCUCAGCUUGGAUGGGUGGCCGGAGCCGAAUCUCGCAGGGAUAGAGAUCAAAUCGGACCUAGGGAAGAGGGGACGAGGUGAGGGGCGCUAGAGUUGGGGGAGGCAUCAACCGCAGUGAUGCUCGCAAGAGUAGAGGCAGGAAGGGCACGUGGGAAAACACCCGACCGACGAUUUUGCGACAGCGGCCCAAGUGUAGAGUUGGAUCAGCCGACGGUGAUUUGCAGGUGUAGAGGCAGGAAGGGUGCGUGGAAAACGCCCGACCGGCGGUUUUGCGACAGUACUUUAUGCUGUAUUUUUGGGCAGCGCUGGAAAUUUUGGAGCAAAUUUUACAUUAAGGGCAGGUAUUGGAGCAGUGUUUCUGGCCCCAAAUGCCCUAAAUACGUUAUGGGGAGAUUCUCUGAGUUGAUGGGGAGUUUAGGUGUUUACACACACUCCAAAUCACAAGUCUUACAACGGUUGUUUCAGGCCCUAAAUAAACACACAAAAUCUGUCAGGCAGAUUAACGUCUUACACCCACACAAACGGAAGCAAUUUGCUUGGCUUUACAUAUAUCCAAGGUAACAUUUCUAGAUCUGUUGGAGAAGCUCGUAUACAUUGGGUGCAUGUUGCAUGGAGAAGCUCAUACAAGUUAAAUGUGCAUGCUGAAUUUGGUAUCCAAGUCGAUCAGCUCAGGUACAAUGAGGAAUAUUACUUAGUUCCACAGUAUCUCUAACAAUGGUUGGAGAAGCUACACAUUUAAAUCUCAGACAUGCAUGUAUUUCGGAACGGAGGCAGUAGUUUUUUACAGAAUGUGACAUUUGGAACUAUAGACUGUUCUUUUCAACUACUCAGAAGGCUAACUAAAAUUUCAGAAACAUUUAUGAGAAAGAAAUAGAACAGCAUCACAUCAAAAAAAAAAGAUGGACGCAGGGCAGAAUUACAUAUAUCAAGAGUACUGCAAAAUUAAUAGCUGCAUAAAAUUCAGUCACAAACACAUAUAAUCCCACAUUACAUAAAACUCAGUCUUGGAACAAAACCAGACUAGCAUUAAACAGCUAAAUUGGACAGAACACAGGUAAGACAGCUUCCACAGCCAUAGCAGCAAACACGCCAGGAAUCACUAGACCAUGCCGUCCUCCCUCGAUGCCUGGCAGCCUGGAUGUAGGAUGAUGCUUCCCCUGCUCCAAGGCGCCUACUUGGAUCGCUGCCUCAUCUUUCGGCGCUUCCUCUUGAGCCUCCUCAUCCUCUUCUUCUUCCACUGCAAAUUUAAGUAACCGCACAGUUCAUCAGCACAAAUUGCGUAGUACUACUCUAGUAGAUGCAUGGCCAAAUAACAAGAAAGUACAAUUUGUUUUGGAAUCAGAAGAUUUGAGUGUUUCAUUGGAUAUCAUCACGUGAUUUUCAGAAACACGGACCAAUUGUUCUUCAUCAUUUCCCAAAGACUGACAAUGUUGAAAAGGCAAAUAGGAAACAACCAAACUAAGAUAUCUAAAGAACUAGCUAAGCAAAGUAGAGAUCUGCAGUCGGUUUGACAUUCAGAAUGAGUAGGAGGAUUUUAUCAUCAAAUGGAUCAGACGCCAAUAGUCAUCCUCAUCAUGCCAACCGACGCAAUUGAACGAAAGAAAGAACAAAUCUAGAAAGAAACACUGGCAAAGAAAACACUAUUCUCUCAGACAAAUGCCUCGAUUGUCCACAUGGUUUUAUAGAAUGGAUUACAUCGGACUCGUCAUAUGUUUUCAUCAUCACAGAGAACUAUAAACAAACAUGCGCAAAAAAUAUCAACUCAGUCAACAGAAACUACAUCCUAGAAUCUCUGAGAACAGGCAAAUCGAACUAUAAUAGCAGGUUCUCUCAGACAAAUUUGCCUCAUUUUUGUCCCCACGGUUGAAUGGAAUGGAUUGGAUCGGACAUCUAAUCAGUGUUGAUCAUCACAGAGAACCACUAAUUACGACAUCGAGCAACAGCAACAGCAGGAACGAAAGCUCGAUAAACACUAGCACAUGCCCAGAUCUACCGCGGUCGCGAAGCAGCUAAUAGGAGAGAAGGUAGACGAAGGGCAGUACGAACCUUGGCCCUCAUCGCGGCGGCGGAGUCGGCCUCGCUCUCCUUUUCGCGGCGGCGGCGGCGGAAGGGUGUGGACGAUCCCGAUCUCCGUAGAUUGUUGGCGGCGGGGGCUCUGGACUCGUACUUUAUAGGGGUGGGGUGCUGGGAAGGGGGGAAACCCUAGCGGGUGGACGGCUCGGAUCAGCCGCUGAGCGGCGUUCUGAUCCGAUUUGGUCGGUCUCUGGUUCGCAGCCCUAAUGGGCCUUCAAACCAACGUCUCGGCCCACGGUCACAUCUAAGAUGAUGGGCUUCCCUUCACCUGUUCUUAAACUGGGCCUCCUCCUCGCUUGCUUGACUCGGCCUGAUCGGUUCUGCUAAAAAGAAACAAGAAUUUCUCAUCUCAGAACUAAAAAACAAGAUGUUCUCCAUGUGUUGAUGAGGAGCUAGUUGAACGACUUGCAGGAUGCAGAUCAUGUAUCAUGUUCCACCACUGGCAAGGUUUUUAGGAGACCGCUUGUCGCACUUCAUGAGAAGAUCUUUCAGAGAGUGAAACAGGGGAGGCAAGCAUGCACUGGAGGGAAGCUCUUUUUGGAGCUAGAUGAAUAGCAACUUGCCGACUUCAACAGCUCGUUUAUACACACGUCAUGGAGACAAAAGAAUUGAUGAAAAUGCACAAACAUGACGGUAAUAACUUCAAAAAGAUGAUCACAGCUGCGCACCUCAGAAUUCAUAAAUCGCAUAAGAUUAACUCGGACAAACAACAACUACCACGAACCGAGCACUCCCCUCGGUCGCUCCCGCGGGCGACCAGGGAGUGAACCCCGCCCAGCCGCCAGCGCCUCUCACCGGCGCUCCCUCCCCUCGCCGCCGCCGGCAGGGGUCGCCGGGCGAAGCCCGCGCGGCUCGCCGACGGCAGGGCCCUCUUCCUCCUCCUCGUGGUCGCGCAGCGCGGCGCGUCACAUCGGGGGAGCUCCGACUCGUGGUCGCUGCGGGCGGCGCGGCGAGGCGACAAGGCGGCGCAGUGUGGCGGCUGAGCAGCGACGCUUNNNNNNNNNNNNNNNNNNNNNNNNNNNNNNNNNNNNNNNNNNNNNNNNNNNNNNNNNNNNNNNNNNNNNNNNNNNNNNNNNNNNNNNNNNNNNNNNNNNNNNNNNNNNNNNNNNNNNNNNNNNNNNNNNNNNNNNNNNNNNNNNNNNNNNNNNNNNNNNNNNNNNNNNNNNNNNNNNNNNNNNNNNNNNNNNNNNNNNNNNNNNNNNNNNNNNNNNNNNNNNNNNNNNNNNNNNNNNNNNNNNNNNNNNNNNNNNNNNNNNNNNNNNNNNNNNNNNNNNNNNNNNNNNNNNNNNNNNNNNNNNNNNNNNNNNNNNNNNNNNNNNNNNNNNNNNNNNNNNNNNNNNNNNNNNNNNNNNNNNNNNNNNNNNNNNNNNNNNNNNNNNNNNNNNNNNNNNNNNGCUUGGUGCGCGGGCUGACGCGGUCGGGUGUGGGGUCCCGCGGCGUGGGGCGCUAGCCCAGGGACGGCCGGAUGUGCAGCGAGCGGUCGCGGCGGAUCUGGCGCUGUGCGGCCGCGUUCGGUCGCGGGGAGGCGUGCACGGCGUGGUUACGACAGGAGAGGCCGCGGAUCUGGCAGGGUCCGCGCAUGUUUGAGAGGUGCGGCGGCUGCUGCACCACGAUGAGGAGUCGGUGGACGUCGACUGGAGAUUGUGUGUUGCGCAGUGCUUCGGAUCUGCUCGGAUUCGAAGGUUGAAAGGAUCGAUAUGGUUGACUAGAAGGGGGUAAAUAGGCAACUAACAAUUUUUAACUUUUCUUUACCAAAUUAAACUUUGCAUCAAAGUAGGUUGUCUAGAAGUGCAACUAGGUGAGCAACCUAUAUGAUGCAAUAACAACAAGCAAACAAGCAAGCAAGAGAAGUAACACUAAAGAGAUUGCACAAGUAAGGGUAAGAGAUAACCAAGAGUGGAUCCGGUGAAGACGAGGAUGUGUUACCGAAGUUCCUUCCUUUGAGGGGAAGUACGUCUCCGUUAGAGCGGUGUGGAGGCACAAUGCUCCCCAAAAAGCCACUAGGGUCACCGUAUUCUCCUCACGCCCUCACACAAUGCGAGAUGUCAUGAUUCCACUAUUGGUGCCCUUGAAGGCGGCAACCGGACCUUUACAAACAAGGUUGGGCAAUCUCCACAACUUAAUCGGAGGCUCCCAACAAUACCACGAAGCUUCACCACAAUGGACUAUGGCUCCGUGGUGACCUCAACCGUUUAGGGUGCUCAAACACCCAAGAGUAACAAGAUCCGCUAGGGAUGAGUGGGGGAAUUGAAAAUCCCUUGGUGGAAGUGUAGAUCGGGGCCUUCUCAACCACACCCGAGCAAAUCAACAAGUUUGAUUGGCUAGAGCCAGCGGUACUGCCGCUCCAGCUGGCGGUACUGCCGCGCAGAGGAGAGCAACAGGGAUCUGGACCCAGAGCGGUACUACCGCGGUGGUAAGGGCGGUACUACUGCUCCGAAACGGUACUACCGCCUCUACUGCCGCAACUAGUGCCGCAAAACCCGACACGAGAAAAGGAGCCCUCGAGUCGAGGCGGUAGGAGACAGACAGACCAGCGGUAGUACAGCUGCGGAGUCACGGGCGGUACUACCGCUGCAGAGCGGUACUGCUGCUUGUGACCCUUCGGCGGUACUACCGCUGGGUAGUGCGGUACUACCGCUGGGACACAGACAAGAGAGAGAGGAUCUCUCCGUCGAGGCUGAGGACGAGGCGGUGGUGCCAGGCAGGCCAGCGGUAGUACUGCUGUGGAGUCACCGACGGUACUACCGCUGCGGAGCGGUACUGCCGCUUGUGACUCCUCGACGGUACUACCGCUAGGUUGCACGGUACUACCGCUGGAACCCAGACAGGACACAAAAGAGAAGAGAUCUCUCCAACUAAGUGGAAGA